UCUGGAGGACUAAUCAGACUGAGUCUGAAGAGUGAGACUCAGGUGACAGUAAUCUCCUAGAAGAAAAGGGAUGGAGAGAGCAGUCCUACUUAAAGAAAAGCAAAGGGCCUACUGUGCCAUCCAACAUGA
ensembl:scaRNA